CCUACGGGAGGCAGCAGUGGGGAAUAUUGGACAAUGGGCGAAAGCCUGAUCCAGCAAUACCGCGUGUGUGAAGAAGGCCUGAGGGUUGUAAAGCACUUUCAAUUGGGAGGAAUACCUAUCCCUUAAUUCGGGGUAGACUGACAUUACCUUUAGAAGAAGCACCGGCUAACUCCGUGCCAGCAGCCGCGGUAAUACGGAGGGUGCGAGCGUUAAUCGGAAUUACUGGGCGUAAAGCGUGCGUAGGCGGUUCGUUAAGUCAGAUGUGAAAGCCCUGGGCUCAACCUGGGAACUGCAUUUGAAACUGGCGGACUAGAGUUUAGUAGAGGGGAGUGGAAUUUCAGGUGUAGCGGUGAAAUGCGUAGAUAUCUGAAGGAACACCAGUGGCGAAGGCGACUCCCUGGACUAGAACUGACGCUGAGGUACGAAAGCGUGGGUAGCAAACAGGAUUAGAUACCCCUGUAGU
rnacentral:rRNA from 1 species